AUUCUUGGCGUGGGAGUGUUACUGAAGAUUGGAUGGCGUCCCAACAGUGUUGAAGAUCUGGAUGGACCAUAUCCACAUGGUUCCUCACAGAGGUAAAUCUACGACCAUACCGUUCAUACCAGUGAAGGAACUGUUCACUUCUCACUUCUACCUCACCUACGAAGGUUCCCUCACAGAGCCGCCUUGUGAGGAGACAGUCACCUGGGUUAUACUCAAUAAACCUGGCUAUAUCACUGCCGAUCAGCUGUGGCAGCUGCAGUCACUACGUAGAGGUACACAUGGUCAAGCACUUCCCAUCAGUGGUAACUUCAGGCCACUUCAGCCCUUACACAGCAGGGCCAUAAGGACGAAUAUUCCACCGUAUACUUUGAGCUGUUCUGCUGUAAACAGAACCAAUCUAUAUCAAGCUGUGGACUUGACGGGUACGUGACGGACAGGUUCGACGGUUAUUUACCAUCCGACUCACUCCUCCGUCACACACAAAAGAGAUGGCGCUGCAGGAGGCCUCCCGUCCAGGCGUGCUACAUUAGUAUCCCCUUAAACUGUUCACCCGUUAGUAACAGAUACCUCCAUUUUUACCCCUAUGAUGGGCAAAAAUGGGAGAUUUAGUGACAUCCCAUUUAUUUCUUGGGUAACUUGGUCUCAGCUUCCUGCCCUGAUAAUCAGGCCUAUCCCCUGACACCUUCCCCUGACACCUUCCCCUGACACCUUUCCCUAGACACCUCAUCCUCCUCUUCCUCUGUCUUUCCCUACCUCAGUAACCCCAUUGGAGAGACUAACCCAUUUGUGCCUCAUUAUCCAUACCCCUUGUUCCACCUCCUACAGUUCCAAAACACUAAACCCGGCUUGUUCCAUCCCACCUCCUUGAGUACCAAAGACAAAAGUCAUCUGUUCCAUAUCGACGCCCCGAGUCCCAAGCAGACAUUCUGUCCCAUUGUCCCAUCAUUGUGGACCCAUUUCCACUCAGCAGACAUUCCAAGUCAUCCUCUUGUGAAUCCAGCUCUCACUUGUUCCUUGUACCAUGGAGCAAUUCACAACUAACCCACAAUACCACGGCUGGAACAAUUUACAACCCACAAUACCAUGGCUGGAACAAUUCACAACUAAUCCACAAUACCAUAGCUGGAACAAUAUACAACCCACAAUACCAUGGCUGGAACAAUUCACAACUAAUCCACAACCUUCAGUAAUUUACCUAACAUUCUCCUUACCUAAUUUACCCUUGAUGACUCUAAUUACCUAACGUCAUCUAAUUAGCGUCUCCUAAUGACCUACCUAUCAAUAGGCCUGCUUUAUCUCAGCCUACUCGCUGUUAGCCUGCCUAGCAGUUAACUUUACCCUAAUGUACUUGUGUCUAUCCUCUCCUACCUUAAUCUAGAGACUAUCCUCUAGUGUUUUUCUAGCCAAGACUAGCCACCAGUCUCACAUUUCUACCGUGUAUACUAUCCUAUCCUUUGACUGUCCUACAUAUUCCAGCUAUCCAGUAGGCAAUGUUACAUACGCCCUGCGUGUUCUGUCUACCCAGUAGACUUUUAAAUGCCCCUACCCACUCUUUCUAUCCAAUAGAUCUUGUUAAAGCCAAUUUAUUCACUCCAUCUAUCCAGUAGAUCUUCUUAAAACCACUCAAUCUACUCCAUCUAUCCAAUAGAUUUUGUUAAAGCCACUCUGUCCACUUUAUCUAUCCAAUAGAUCUCGUUAAACCCACUCUACCCACUUUAUCUAAUAAACCUUCUUAAACCCAAGCUACUCUCAAAAUCUAUCUAACAGUUAUUAAACUCAGUGGAUUUUGUUAAACCUAAUCUAUCUAACUUUCCUAUCCGGUAAAUCUCAUUAAACCCACCCUGCCCACUCAGUCUAUUAAGUGGGCCUUGUUCAACUAUCCUUACCCUGUUAAACCAUGCCUACCAAGAAGUACCUGUUUACCUUUCCCUUGCCUAUCCAUUCCCUUUUUAUCCAUCCCAGCCAUCCCUUAACCGCUCUAUCCCUCCCCCCCCAUCUAUUCUCUAUCCUCCUAAACUAAAAAACGUAAAUAGACUUAUUGCCAUUUUUAAAGCGUUUCACUAU